GACGAACCGUCCGAACGUUAUUCGGAAUCACUGGGCUUAAAGGGCGCGUAGGCGGCUUGGCAAGUGGAUGGUGAAAUCCCUCGGCUUAACCGAGGAACUGCCGUCCAAACUGCUUCGCUUGAGACCGGGAGAGGUGAGUGGAAUUCCCAGUGUAGCGGUGAAAUGCGUAGAUAUUGGGAGGAACACCAGUGGCGAAGGCGGCUCACUGGCCCGGUACUGACGCUGAGGUGCGAAAGCGUGGGGAGCAAACAGGG
rnacentral:rRNA from 1 species